rnacentral:rRNA from 1 species
UGAUUUUUUAUUAUUACUUUAAUUGAGUGUUUGUUAAUAUAUUAUUUUUUUAGUAAUUAUUAUGAAUAAAGUUUUUUUGUGAUAGUUUAUUAGUAUAGAGAUAGGAUUAUACGAUAGAAAUUUAAAGAAAUAUUAUUUUUAUGUACCUUGUGUAUCAGGGUUAAUUAAUUAAAUUUUAAUUAGUUAAUUUUCUCGAAUUAGAAAGAUUUAAUUUUUAAUUUAUUUGAAUGUGUAAUUAUUCUUUAGAAUUAUAAGUUGGAAGUUAAAUGUUAAUUGUUUUCUUAUAUAUCUAGUUUUUUUAGAUAAAAAUUGAAUUUUAUGUUUUUUGAGGUUAUUAAUUUUUAAUAAUUGGUUAUUUUAUAAAGCUUAAAUUGUUUAGGGGAUGAGCUCUGUACAACAUUUCUAUAAUUAAAAUUUUUCUAAGGUUAGUAGGAUUAAAAAUUUCUAUCUUAAAAUUUUGUUAUAAUUAUUUUUAUUAAUUUAUAAUUUUUUACUUAUUUAGGUUUUUUAUUUAAGAUUAUUUAUUAAUUUUUUAAAUUUAGGUAUAAUGAUUAAAUUAGUAUAUUUUUGAUUUUAUAUUAUUUAGUGGGGCGAGGUUGAUUAGAGGAAUUAGGCAAUAAAAUUUUUUCGCCUGUUUAUUAAAAACAUGGUUUUUUGAUUUUUAAUUUAAAAUUUAAUCUGCCCAGUGAGUUUUAAACGGCCGCGGUAUUUUGACCGUGCAAAGGUAGCGUGAUAAUUAGUUUUUUAAUUGAGGACUGGUAUGAAGGAUUGGACGAGAAAAAUUCUGUCUUUGUUUAAUUUUAGUAGAAUUUAAUUUUUAAGUGAAAAAGCUUAAAUAAUUUUAAAGGACGAGAAGACCCUAUAGAGUUUUAAUUAUUAAUAUAUUUAAUAAUUUUUAGGUUUUUGGUUAGAGUUUAAAGAUAAUUUUGAUUGGGGUGAUUGAAGGAUUUUUUAAACUCCUUAAGUUGAAACAUUGAUUUUUGUUUAUUUGAUCUUUUUUAGAGAUUAAGAGACUAAAUUACCUUAGGGAUAACAGCGUGAUUUUUUAAAAAGUUCUUAUUGAAAUAAAAGAUUGCGACCUCGAUGUUGGAUUAAAAUUAAUUUUUGGUGCAGAAGCUAAAAAAUUAAGUCUGUUCGACUUUUAAAAUUUUACAUGAUCUGAGUUUAAAUCGGUGUGAGCCAGGUUGGAUUCUAUCCUUAAUUUUUUUUUAUAUUUUAGUACGAGAGGACCAUUUAUAAUUUAAAUUAUUUAUUACUUUGGCAGAUUUA